rnacentral:rRNA from 1 species
UACGUAGGGCGCAAGCAGUGUUCGGAGUUACUGGGCGUAAAGGGUGCGUAGGCGGCUUUUUAAGUUCUGGUGUGAAAUCUCCCGGCUCAACUGGGAGGGUGCGCCGGGAUACUGAGGGGGCUAGAGUGUGGGGAGAGGAAAAGUGGAAUUCCUGGUGUAGCGGUGAAAUGCGUAGAUAUCAGGAGGAACACCGGUGGUGUAAACGGCUUUCUGGACCAUAACUGACGCUGAGGCACGAAAGCGUGGGUAGCAAACAGG